CAGGACAGGUACAGCACAGGCAGCGACAGUGUGAGCUUUCUCCACACCACUUCGUCCAUGUGCCUCAACUGUGACCUAGAGGGACCACUUCUAGA
ensembl:misc_RNA